AACGAACGCUGGCGGCGUGCUUAACACAUGCAAGUCGAGUGCGCGCCUGUAGCAAUACAGGUGGCGCACGGCGCACGGGUGCGUAACACGUGGGUAAUCUGCCCUCUGAUGGGGAAUAACUCGCCGAAAGGCGAGCUAAUUCCGCAUAACAUUCCGAAGACCUUGGUUUUUGGAUUCAAAGGCGUAAGUCGUCGGAGGAGGAGCCCGCGCACGAUUAGCUAGUUGGUGAGGUAAUGGCUCACCAAGGCUAUGAUCGUUAGCUGGUCUGAGAGGAUGGCCAGCCACACUGGAACUGAGACACGGUCCAGACUCCUACGGGAGGCAGCAGUGGGGAAUCUUGCACAAUGGGCGAAAGCCUGACGCAGCGAUGCCGC
rnacentral:rRNA from 1 species